GAUUGGUCCUGCUUCAGUCACAUGCUUGCAUCUUAGUCCAAUCACUGUGGCCUGGAGGAUGGGACACCAUGAUUUGCAAGACUCUGGUCACAUGCCCACACCUGUGGCUUCUGAAGCAGAGCACCAGCAGUGACAGUCCCACCAGAACCGCAUGGAAUAGAAAACUGUGCAUUUCCCUAAGGAAAGGGAAUGCCAGAGAAGGGCAGAAGGGAAAUCAGGAAGACAAAACGUGUCUUCAUGUUGGAGUGGACCUUUCCUCUAUCUGUCAACAGAAUGGAUAAAUUGUGGAAGAGUAAUAUCAGAAUACUACACAUCAGUAAAAAACAACAAACUUCUGCUACAAACAAUCAACAUCGAUGAAUCUUUCAGGCAAAAGGGUGAGCUAAAGUAGUCAGACACAAAAGGCUACAUACUGUAUGAUUCUUUCUACAAAAAAAUUCAAGAACAG
rnacentral:lncRNA from 10 species